rnacentral:rRNA from 1 species
AUUGAACGCUGGCGGCAGGCCUAACACAUGCAAGUCGAGCGGAUGAAGGGAGCUUGCUCCUGGAUUCAGCGGCGGACGGGUGAGUAAUGCCUAGGAAUCUGCCUGGUAGUGGGGGAUAACGUCCGGAAACGGGCGCUGAUACCGCAUACGUACUGAGGGAGAAAGAGGGGGAUCUUCGGACCUCACGCUAUCAGAUGAGCCUAGGUCGGAUUAGCUAGUUGGUGGGGUAAAGGCCUACCAAGGCGACGAUCCGUAACUGGUCUGAGAGGAUGAUCAGUCACACUGGAACUGCGACACGGUCCUGACUCCUACGGGAGUCAGCAGUGGGGAAUAUUGGACUAUGGGCGAAAGCCUGAUCCAGCCAUGCCGCGUGUGUGAAGAAGGUCUUCGGAUUGUAAAGCACUUUAAGUUGGGAGGAAGGGCAGUAAGUUAAUACCUUGCUGUUUUGACGUUACCAACAGAAUAAGCACCGGCUAACUUCGUG